rnacentral:rRNA from 1 species
ACCAGACUCCUACGGGAGGCAGCAGUGGGGGAUAUUGCACAAUGGGGGGAACCCUGAUGCAGCGACGCCGCGUGGGUGAAGAAGCGCCUCGGCGCGUAAAGCCCUGUCAGCAGGGAAGAAAAUGACGGUACCUGAAGAAGAAGCCCCGGCUAACUACGUGCCAGCAGCCGCGGUAAUACGUAGGGGGCAAGCGUUAUCCGGAUUUACUGGGUGUAAAGGGGGCGCAGACGGCGAUGCAAGCCAGGAGUGAAAGCCCGGGGCCCAACCCCGGGACUGCUCUUGGAACUGCGUGGCUGGAGUGCAGGAGGGGCAGGCGGAAUUCCUGGUGUAGCGGUGAAAUGCGUAGAUAUCAGGAGGAACACCGGUGGCGAAGGCGGCCUGCUGGACUGCAACUGACGUUGAGGCCCGAAAGCGUGGGGAGCAAACAGGAUUAGAUACCCGAGUAAC